UUCGGGACCUUAGUAAAGUGGCGCACGGGUGAGUAACACGUGGGUAACCUGCCCUUCGAUGGGGGAUAACAGUUCGAAAGGACUGCUAAUACCGCAUGCGAUCAUCGUGUCUAUGACGUGGUGAUGAAAGCGGCGCAAGUCGCGUCGGAGGAUGGGCCCGCGGACCAUUAGCUAGUUGGUGGGGUAAUGGCCUACCAAGGCUUCGAUGGUUAGCUGGUCUGAGAGGAUGAUCAGCCACACUGGAACUGAGACACGGUCCAGACUCC
rnacentral:rRNA from 1 species